rnacentral:rRNA from 1 species
GAUGAACGCUGGCGGCGUGCCUAAUACAUGCAAGUCGAGCGAACGGACGAGAAGCUUGCUUCUCUGAUGUUAGCGGCGGACGGGUGAGUAACACGUGGAUAACCUACCUAUAAGACUGGGAUAACUUCGGGAAACCGGAGCUAAUACCGGAUAAUAUUUUGAACCGCAUGGUUCAAAAGUGAAAGACGGUCUUGCUGUCACUUAUAGAUGGAUCCGCGCUGCAUUAGCUAGUUGGUAAGGUAACGGCUUACCAAGGCAACGAUGCAUAGCCGACCUGAGAGGGUGAUCGGCCACACUGGAACUGAGACACGGUCCAGACUCCUACGGGAGGCAGCAGUAGGGAAUCUUCCGCAAUGGGCGAAAGCCUGACGGAGCAACGCCGCGUGAGUGAUGAAGGUCUUCGGAUCGUAAAACUCUGUUAUUAGGGAAGAACAUAUGUGUAAGUAACUGUGCACAUCUUGACGGUACCUAAUCAGAAAGCCACGGCUAACUACGUGCCAGCAGCCGCGGUAAUACGUAGGUGGCAAGCGUUAUCCGGAAUUAUUGGGCGUAAAGCGCGCGUAGGCGGUUUUUUAAGUCUGAUGUGAAAGCCCACGGCUCAACCGUGGAGGGUCAUUGGAAACUGGAAAACUUGAGUGCAGAAGAGGAAAGUGGAAUUCCAUGUGUAGCGGUGAAAUGCGCAGAGAUAUGGAGGAACACCAGUGGCGAAGGCGACUUUCUGGUCUGUAACUGACGCUGAUGUGCGAAAGCGUGGGGAUCAAACAGGAUUAGAUACCCUGGUAGUCCACGCCGUAAACGAUGAGUGCUAAGUGUUAGGGGGUUUCCGCCCCUUAGUGCUGCAGCUAACGCAUUAAGCACUCCGCCUGGGGAGUACGACCGCAAGGUUGAAACUCAAAGGAAUUGACGGGGACCCGCACAAGCGGUGGAGCAUGUGGUUUAAUUCGAGGCAACGCGAAGAACCUUACCAAAUCUUGACAUCCUUUGACAACUCUAGAGAUAGAGCCUUCCCCUUCGGGGGACAAAGUGACAGGUGGUGCAUGGUUGUCGUCAGCUCGUGUCGUGAGAUGUUGGGUUAAGUCCCGCAACGAGCGCAACCCUUAAGCUUAGUUGCCAUCAUUAAGUUGGGCACUCUAAGUUGACUGCCGGUGACAAACCGGAGGAAGGUGGGGAUGACGUCAAAUCAUCAUGCCCCUUAUGAUUUGGGCUACACACGUGCUACAAUGGACAAUACAAAGGGCAGCGAAACCGCGAGGUCAAGCAAAUCCCAUAAAGUUGUUCUCAGUUCGGAUUGUAGUCUGCAACUCGACUACAUGAAGCUGGAAUCGCUAGUAAUCGUAGAUCAGCAUGCUACGGUGAAUACGUUCCCGGGUCU